AGUGAACGCUGGCGGUAGGCCUAACACAUGCAAGUCGAACGGCAGCACAGUAAGAGCUUGCUCUUACGGGUGGCGAGUGGCGGACGGGUGAGGAAUACAUCGGAAUCUACUUUUUCGUGGGGGAUAACGUAGGGAAACUUACGCUAAUACCGCAUACGACCUACGGGUGAAAGCAGGGGAUCUUCGGACCUUGCGCGAUUGAAUGAGCCGAUGUCGGAUUAGCUAGUUGGCGGGGUAAGGGCCCACCAAGGCGACGAUCCGUAGCUGGUCUGAGAGGAUGAUCAGCCCCACUGGAACUGAGACACGGUCCAGACUCCUACGGGAGGCAGCAGUGGGGAAUAUUGGACAAUGGGCGCAAGCCUGAUCCAGCCAUACCGCGUGGGUGAAGAAGGCCUUCGGGUUGUAAAGCCCUUUUGUUGGGAAAGAAAAGCAGCAGGUUAAUACCCCGCUGUUCUGACGGUACCCAAAGAAUAAGCACCGGCUAACUUCGU
rnacentral:rRNA from 1 species